CGACAAAUCUAAGGCCUGUCCCUCUGACCUCUACUACUACGCUCUCUAUUCCAGUUGGUCUCUGGAACUGCCAGUCUGCUGUUAACAAAGCAGACUUAAUUUCUUCUAUUGCUACUCAUUCCGGUCUCAACCUCAUGGCACUGACUGAGACUUGGAUCAAACCUGAAGACACUGCCACUCCCGCAGCCCUCUCCACUCAUUUCACUUGUUCCCACACCCCUCGUACGACUGGGAGGGGUGGAGGUACUGGUCUCCUUAUAUCGAAAGAUUGGAAAUUUGAUCUUCAACCACCACCUACAGGUCACGGUUCAUUUGAAUCACAUGCUGUUACUGUAACCCACCCUGUUCAAAUCCACUUUGUGGUCAUUUAUCGUCCCCCAGGUCAAUUGGGAAACUUCUUGGAGGAGUUGGAUGUGCUGCUAUCAAACUAUCCUGAAGAUGGUACUCCUCUGGUACUGCUUGGUGACUUCAACAUCCACCUAGAUAAACCCCAGGCUGCUGACUUCAACACUCUGCUCGCCUCAUUUGAUCUCAAGCGAGUCUCUACUACAGCCACUCACAAAUCGGGCAACCAACUGGACCUCAUCUACAUGCGCUGUUGCUCAGUGGACAACACUUUAGUUACUCCACUGCACACCUCAGACCACUUCCUCAUUACUGCUAAUCUAACACUUACUCCUGAAGCGGCACACGCUCCAACGCGGGUCACCUUUCGACGGAACCUACGCUCACUCUCUCCAUCUCGCCUAUCCUCUGUGGUUGCAUCCUCACUUCCUUCACUCUCGCAGUUUUCAGCUCUGGACACGAACAGUGCUACGGACACUUUUUGUUCCACUCUGACCUCCUGCUUGGACAACUUUUGCCCACUGUCGUCUAGACCAGCACGCACCACCCCAUCUGCCCCCUGGCUGUCCGAUGUACUCCGUGAACAUCGCUCUAAACUCAGGGCUGCAGAGAGGAAAUGGCUUAAAUCAAGAAACUCUACCGACCUCAGUGUGUAUCAGUCUCUCCUCUCCUCCUUCUCUGCAAACGUCUUCACUGCUAAAACAUCAUAUUACCACGACAAGAUUAACAACUGUUGUGACGCUCGGACACUCUUCAAAACCUUCUCUUCUCUUCUUAAUCCGCCUCCACCUCCUCCUCAAUCGACUCUUACAGCUGAUGACUUUGCAGUUUUCUCAUCAGCAUCGAGUUAUCUUUAGGAUCUGUCAUUCAGAAGCAUGGCUUUUCCUAUCACUGCUACGCUGAUGACACUCAACUCUACUUCUCAUUCCAACCAGAUGACCCGACGGUAGUUGCUCGCAUUUCAGCCUGUCUGAGUGACAUUUCUAGCUGGAUGAAUGACCAUCACCUUCAGCUUAACCUUACUAAGACUGAACUGCUGGUGGUUCCAGCUAACCCAUCGUUUCAUCACAACUUCUCUGUACAGCUAGGUUCGUCAACCAUAACUCCUUCCAGGACAGCCAGAAACCUAGGAGUUGUGAUUGAUGAUCAGUUAAGC
ensembl:lncRNA